CACACACACGUGCAGACACCCUCUGCCAAAAGUCUUGUUUUGUAGGUUGCCAUUAAACACAUCCCUAAUGAUGACGUCUACUGCACACAUGAGGACGACGAAGGGAACAAAAUUUCCAUUGAGAUCGCCAUCAUGUACAAGCUGGCGGCCAAAAAUAAAAAGGAGUAUGUGAGGAACUACAUCAGACGAAGUCCAUUGAUGAGCUACGGGACCCCAAUUCUCCAAAAUAGGAUUACUUAAUAAGUACAUUCGUAUAUGAUCUAAACCAAAUGAAUUCUUCUUUUCUUUACACCACAAAGAUUAAUUAAUCUGUUCUUUAUUAUUACUUUUUGACUUAUGUUAAGCUACAGUGUUCUUGAGUUAAUGAGUUUGAAUAUAAAUGACACAUGGAAGUUUGAUUGCUUUUCAAAUAAUAUUUUAAUCCUGAUUUAAAGUGUUCAU